UAAACUAAAUUACUUGUUUUGAAUUAAAAUAAAUAAACAAAAAAAUUCAUCAUUCAUCCAAUACAAUAGAAGAUUUACCGAGCAUAUUGUUGGAAUUAAAUGCAUAAAAAUAGAACGACAUCACCAAAUUUGAUAGAACUUGAAUAAUUCCAAGGGCUUGUGUCGUCUUCCACUGUUCACGUACGUUUCUGCGUGUAUGUAUAUAAUAACCAGCCUCAAUGUUUGACUGCACCAAUUUCUGCCCUUCUUUUCUGCCUUCAACAGCAACCGCCAAUUUAUGUCUAUCUAUUCCCCAUGCUUUCGUCCUCUCUCCUACCUUUUUGUGUGAGAAUUGAGAUGUAUAUUAAAUAUAAUUCAGCCCACCAAUCCUCUCCUUUUUCUACCAGAAUGUGUAUAUUAUAGUCAAUGCAGCCCUGGGUAGUUCCCU
rnacentral:lncRNA from 1 species